CGGCAGGGGAUGGACCGGAGCGGAGGAGAGGGUGCGCGCUGGACUGGACCCCGGCGGCCCUUCUCCGGGGAGCCGGAGCUCCGCGUUGCGGGUACCCGAGCCCCACGUGGGGCGCGCACGGGACACCUAAACUCGGGCCGGGAAUGCUUAAACUGGGAGAAGGCAUGUUUGAAGAAUGGAUUCUCCUCAUUCAGGCCGUUUACUGAAUACCCACAACAAACCUGACCUAAGCAGGGGCCAGACACCACCAAGAUGAAGGACAGUAUGGCAGUGCUUCCUGGGGGCCCAUGCUGUGAAGAAAUGGGUUGACUACAAUUCCAGAAAGUGCCUAGGGUCUGCCAGAAACUGGGCUGUGGGGACUGCAGUCUCCUUAGAGAGACCACCCUCUGAAGCUACCCAAUCUCAACCAGGAGGCUAUAUGGAAAGAUUGCUGAAAGACAGACUUCAAACCCCAGAAAUUUCCUCUCACCAGAGAAUACUUCCCCAGACUUCAUCCCUGAUAGCACCAGGCUCCUUGGGAACCAGUCAUCGGAUGGGAACAAAAACUCACUGAUAGGAGUCACCCACCAUGAGCACUUACUUUGUUUCUGUCUUCCUGCUCCCCUUCAGCUGAAAGCUCUGUCAGUUGGGGCAUCUUGUCUGUCACGUGCCUCAUUUAAUUUCUAGAGUCUGCAGCAGAUACUCCAAAAAUAAUUACCUAGGGUCUCAGCAGUUGAGAGCUCUAGCUUCUCUUGUGGCAGACCUGGGUGCCAUUCCCACCACCCAUACGGCGGUUCACAACCAUCUACAACUCCAGUUCUAAGAGAGUUGGCACUGUCUUCUGGCAAAACACUCAUACACAUAAAAUCAAAUAAAUGGAAGUUUAAAUAAAUAUCCAGUCUGAAAGGAUGUCUUAGCAGUUAAAAGUGUUUACUACUCUAACCAGAGGACCAGCAUUCAGACCCACCUCCAGUGGCUUUACGGGAUCUGACAUCCCCUCCUGGCCUCUGUGGGCACCUGCGCCUGCACAUCCUCCAUAGACAAAUAAGAUGAAGCAACACUUUACAUAAAAACUGUAAUUGCUCAAGGGAUGAUUUAGGUUGGC